GUAGGUGAACCUGCGGAAGGAUCAUUAAUGAAACUUCAAAGUCGGCAGGCAGUUGUUGCUGGUGGUUUACUCCACAUGUGCACACUGUCGGUCGCAAUCCACACACACCUGUGCAUCUAUGACUCGAGGUUGUAAUGACUGAGAGUAACUUUUACACACUCUUGUAUGUAAUGGAAUGUCUUUUGUGCUAUAAUGUACAAUAUAAACAACUUUCAACAACGGAUCUCUUGGCUCUC
rnacentral:misc_RNA from 1 species